AGAUCUGGGCAGCCGCUUACAUUCUCUCUCUAAAUAGAGUUCUGUCUCCGUUUGCGUUCUGGCUUCUUAGUUUGCUAAAGAUUUUCGGUGGGUCUAGCUUUGAAGAGGCAAUUUUGCUGUGGGAUAAUUCCGGAGAGAUUAUUGAGCUUUUUAGAUGCGGUUUUCUUCAUUUUGAAUUGUUUUACUCCAAGGGAUUAGGUUUAUUUGGAUCGGAUAGAGGGGUCGCCGGUGCCGUUGGACUGAGAUUGAUCGUCCCUAUUUUUGCCUCAAGUGUGAGAGAGAAUUUCACGUCUGAUAUUUGAGAGAGAAAAGGAUGGAUGAUUUAUGGGCAUUGCCUGAACAUGAAUGGUUAUGCAGUGAACAACGCAAGUGGAUUCAUUCACCUCUUCGGAAGUUUGUGAAGAUUUUAAAGAAGAAAGUUAAUGGAAAAGCUUCAAAGCCGAGCCCAAAUUAUUUCAAUAUGAAGUGAAGAACUGGAAUAGGAAAAGACAAGGAAAAGGAAAGAACACCACUAGAACUAUAUAACUUGGUGGGAUGUUCUUACCAUGGUUUUUUCUAUCUUAGUUAUAUAUCCUGGUGCAUGGUUUUAAAUAGAAAUAUUCUGAUGUAUUUUAUAUGAGUUGUUCGGAAGAGAUAUCCAGAUUUGUAGUAUUGGGUUGU